rnacentral:rRNA from 1 species
UAGCCGUAAACGAUACUCGCUAGGUGUCGGCCACGGUGCGACCGUUGUCGGUGCCGUAGGGAAGCCGUGAAGCGAGCCACCUGGGAAGUACGGCCGCAAGGCCGAAACUUAAAGGAAUUGGCGGGGGAGCACAACAACGGGUGGAGCUUGCGGUUUAAUUGGAUUCAACGCCGGAAAUCUUACCGGGACCGACAGCAACAUGAAGGCCAAGCUGAAGACUUUGCCGGAUUAGCUGAGAGGAGGUGCAUGGCGUAGUCGUGU